UGGGGAAUAUUGCACAAUGGGCGCAAGCCUGAUGCAGCCAUGCCGCGUGUAUGAAGAAGGCCUUCGGGUUGUAAAGUACUUUCAGCGGGGAGGAAGGGAGUAAAGUUAAUACCUUUGCUCAUUGACGUUACCCGCAGAAGAAGCACCGGCUAACUCCGUGCCAGCAGCCGCGGUAAUACGGAGGGUGCAAGCGUUAAUCGGAAUUACUGGGCGUAAAGCGCACGCAGGCGGUCUGUCAAGUCGGAUGUGAAAUCCCCGGGCUCAACCUGGGAACUGCAUUCGAAACUGGCAGGCUAAAGUCUUGGAGAGGGGGGUAGAAUGCCAGGUGUAGCGGUGAAAUGCGUAGGGAUCUGGAGGGAUACCGGAGGCGAAGGCGGCCCCCUGGAGAAAGACUGACGCUCAGGUGCGAAAGCGUGGGGAGCAAACAGG
rnacentral:rRNA from 1 species